GGCUGGAUAGCUCAGUUGGUAGAGCAACGGUACAGCAUUCCGAUGGUCGCAGGUUCAAAUCUUGCUCCAGUCG